UCUCACGAUGAAAAUUAAAAGGUGAUUUAGCACGUAGAAACCAAUUUGCCAAAUCAUUCAACUCAGACUUGGGAAGUGCCUGUAGCCCUGUACAUUUCCGAAUUGGCGUGCCUUGUGUGUCUCGCUGCCUGUUCUUUGGCUCACGUCUCACCCCAUUCAACAGGAAAAAGUAAAACAAACACUGGUGGUUACCUUGUUGCAGCCAAAUGGUGAAAGGUGUGACAAAGACAAAUUGAACUGUUGUAUGCAGCAUGUGGUUGCAGUGUAAUCCAGAAGUUGCUGUGCUGUUGUAGCUGAGCUGUUGCAUCUGGGUUCCUGACUUAAACAUUUUUGUGUUUGUGUUUUCAUCCAUGCCAUAUGAAAUUGCUCUGCCAGUGAUAU